rnacentral:rRNA from 1 species
CUACGGGGUGCUCCAGUCGAGAAUCUUGCCCAAUGGGCGCAAGCCUGAGGCAGCGACGCCGCGUGGAGGAUGAAGGCCUUCGGGUUGUAAACUCCUGUUGGGGGGCAUCAGGGGCCGCAGUGGCAAUACCAUUGUGGCCUGAGGUCAACCCCUGAGGAAGCCACGGCUAAUUCCGUGCCAGCAGCCGCGGUAACACGGAAGUGGCAAGCGUUGUUCGGAUUCACUGGGCUUAAAGGGCACGCAGGCGGCCGGGUAUGUCUGGUGUGAAAGCCCUCGGCUCAACCGAGGAACUGCAUUGGAAACUGCCCGGCUUGAGGACAGGAGAGGCGAGUGGAACUCCAGGUGUAGCGGUGAAAUGCGUAGAUAUCUGGAGGAACGCCGGAGGCGAAAGCGACUCGCUGGACUGUUCCUGACGCUGAGGUGCGAAAGCCAGGGGAGAGAACGGGAUUAGAUACCCUAGUAGUC